UACGAAGGGGGCUAGCGUUGCUCGGAAUUACUGGGCGUAAAGCGCACGUAGGCGGACUCUUAAGUCAGGGGUGAAAUCCUGGAGCUCAACUCCAGAACUGCCUUUGAUACUGGGAGUCUUGAGUUCGGGAGAGGUGAGUGGAACUGCGAGUGUAGAGGUGAAAUUCGUAGAUAUUCGCAAGAACACCAGUGGCGAAGGCGGCUCACUGGCCCGAUACUGACGCUGAGGUGCGAAAGCGUGGGGAGCAAACAGG
rnacentral:rRNA from 1 species